rnacentral:lncRNA from 1 species
ACUCGUACCUACGUGCAAGCAUUCACAGGGUUGACCAUUGGAGCGUAUAUGUGAGCAUGUGUAUUCAUAGCAACGAGACACCUACCUUUUGCACGCUGUUCAUCAGAAUGAGGAUGAUGGAAAUUCCUUCUAGUCCUGCUGGUGGGUACCAUGGAUCAUGAAUACCCGUAGGGUAGCAACGUAUCUUCCAUUCACGGCCUCCAAUCAUGAAUGUACUGAAUUCCUU